ensembl:scaRNA
CUGCUCACUGGGGCUCAGUUCUUCCCAUGCAAUCCUGAUCUGCCCAUCGUGAGCUAGACAGUCAUGGCUGGUUUGGAGAUGUUCUGUCUGAGUGGACAGCAGGGUCCCGUGGUUUUGCAUAAACA